AGUUCGGAUCGCAGUCUGCAACUCGACUGCGUGAAGGUGGAGUCGCUAGUAAUCGCGGAUCAGCAACGCCGCGGUGAAUGCGUUCCCGGGCCUUGUACACACCGCCCAUCAAGUCAUGAAAGUGGGCAGCACCCGAAGACGGUGGCCUAACCCUUGUGGGGGGAGCCGUCUAAGGUGAGGCUCGUGAUUGGGACUAAGUCGUAACAAGGUAGC
rnacentral:rRNA from 1 species